rnacentral:rRNA from 1 species
UACGGAGGGUGCAAGCGUUGUUCGGAAUUAUUGGGCGUAAAGAGCUCGUAGGCGGUUUGGUAAGUCGGGUGUGAAAUCUCCACGCUCAACGUGGAGGGGCCACUCGAUACUGCCAUGACUCGAGUCCGGUAGAGGAGUGUGGAAUUCCCGGUGUAGCGGUGAAAUGCGCAGAUAUCGGGAGGAACACCCGUAGCGAAGGCGGCACUCUGGGCCGGAACUGACGCUGAGGAGCGAAAGCGUGGGGAGCGAACAGG